rnacentral:rRNA from 1 species
UACGUAGGGUGCAAGCGUUGUCCGGAAUUAUUGGGCGUAAAGAGCUUGUAGGCGGUUUGUCGCGUCUGCUGUGAAGGUCCGGGGCUCAACUCCGGAUCUGCGGUGGGUACGGGCAGACUAGAGUGAUGUAGGGGAGACUGGAAUUCCUGGUGUAGCGGUGAAAUGCGCAGAUAUCAGGAGGAACACCGAUGGCGAAGGCAGGUCUCUGGGCAUUAACUGACGCUGAGGAGCGAAAGCAUGGGGAGCGAACAGG